CAGAGCAAAGCUAAUACAGAAUAGCAUCUCCCUUACACUGAGAAGUUAUCCGUGCAAAUCGGAUUGCACUGA
rnacentral:tRNA from 3 species